ensembl:snRNA U2 U2 spliceosomal RNA
AUUGCUUCUCAGCCUUAUGGCUAAGAUCAAGUGUAGUAUCUGUUCUAAUCAGUUUAAUAUCUGAUACGUCCUCUAUCGGAGGACAACAUAUUAAAUGAAUUUUUGGAGCACGGAGAUGGAAUAGGAGCUUGCCCCGCCCACUCCACACAUUGACCUGGUUAAAAAAAAAAAAAGAAUAAACAUAAA